rnacentral:rRNA from 1 species
UACGGGGGGGGCAAGCGUUGUUCGGAAUUACUGGGCGUAAAGGGCUCGUAGGUGGCCAACUAAGUCAGACGUGAAAUCCCUCGGCUUAACCGGGGAACUGCGUCUGAUACUGGAUGGCUAGAGUUUGGGAGAGGGAUGCGGAAUUCCAGGUGUAGCGGUGAAAUGCGUAGAUAUCUGGAGGAACACCGGUGGCGAAGGCGGCAUCCUGGACCAACACUGACGCUGAGGAGCGAAAGCCAGGGGAGCAAAGCGG